GGCGGUUCUUGGGUGACACACCCCCGAAUCGGCCUCCCUGCUCUCUGGUCCUGGGUGCAUCACCUGAGAACCACA
rfam:Myotis brandtii contig161915, whole genome shotgun sequence.